GCACCGUUAGCUCAAUUGGUAGAGCAGCUGACUCUUAAUCAGCGGGUUCAGGGUUCGAGUCCCUGGCGGUGUACGA
rnacentral:tRNA from 1 species